rnacentral:rRNA from 1 species
GAUGAAUGCUGGCGGCGUGCUUAACACAUGCAAGUCGAGCGGCAGCGCGGUCUUCGGACUGGCGGCGAGCGGCGGACGGCUGAGUAACGCGUGGGAACGUGCCCCAAAGUGAGGAAUAACUGCCCGAAAGGGUGGCUAAUGCCGCAUAUGGUCUUCGGAUUAAAGGAUUUAUCCGCUUUGGGAGCGGCCUGCGUAUGAUUAGGUAGUUGGUGAGGUAAUGGCUCACCAAGCCGACGAUCAUUAGCUGGUCUGAGAGGAUGACCAGCCAGACUGGAACUGAGACACGGUCCAGACUCCUACGGGAGGCAGCAGUGAGGAAUCUUCCACAAUGGGCGAAAGCCUGAUGGAGCAACGCCGCGUGCAGGAUGAAGGCCUUCGGGUUGUAAACUGCUUUUAUAAGUGAAGAAUAUGACGGUAACUUAUGAAUAAGCACCGGCUAACUACGUGCCAGCAGCCGCCGUAA